UGACUUAUGGCUCAGUGGUAGAGCAUCGGCAUAGUACGCCGAAGGUUAAGGGUUCAAAACCCAAAAAAGUCAA
rnacentral:tRNA from 1 species